AACGAACGCUGGCGGCAGGCGUAACACAUGCAAGUCGAACGCCCCGCAAGGGGAGUGGCAGACGGGUGAGUAACGCGUGGGAACAUACCCUUUUCUACGGAAUAGCGCUGGGAAACUGGAAUUAAUACCGUAUACGCCCUACGGGGGAAAGAUUUAUCGAGGAAGGAUUGGCCCGCGUUGGAUUAGCUAGUUGGUGGGGUAAAGGCCUACCAGGGAGACGAUCCAUAGCUGGUCUGAGAGGAUGGUCGGCCACAUUGAGACUGAGCCACGGACCAAACUGCUACGGGAGGCAGCAGUGGGGAAUAUUGGACAAUGGGCGCAAGCCUGAUCCAGCCAUGCCGCGUGAGUGAUGAAGGCCUUAGGGUUGUAAAGCUCUUUCACCGAUGAAGAUAAUGACGGUAGUCGGAGAAGAAGCCCCGGCUAACUUCGUGCCAGCCGCCGCCGUAAGAC
rnacentral:rRNA from 1 species